UCGUUCUUUUCGAUUGUAGGAAGAGGUAGGUGUGCGGCUGCUGUUGGGGAUAGGGAGGGAAUGAUGAAGAAUGUUGUUCCCUGGAGGAAUAAGUUUUACACUGGUUCAGCUGCUUUCUCUUUCUCAAACGUUAUUUUGUCUGAGAGUUAAUACAGUGGCCUCGUUUCCUGUGAGUGUGAUAACUGAUCCGUAAUGUCUUCUUAAAAAAGAAUGAGACUGGGAACAUUCACUCAUAUGAGCAACCUAAUUGGGACUGGUAGAGACUUGUUGCCAUCUGAACUCCCAACACUGCAAGACAUUUUCAGAUACGGCUUACUGUUAUGAGAACAAAGUAGUGAUGAUGCUAGAAACUACCCAGCAGCCACUGUUGCAAGAGAUAUAUAUUCAAAAGUGCUUGAAAAGUGGGAACAAGCAAACAGUUCUUUUGUGACUCCUGUUGUAAAUUCACAAAUGAUAAUUUUGAACAAGAUCCGAGAGAGCUGGGAUCGAGCCAAAAACAUAUCUCUUGGUAGAGGAAAGCUAGGUGUCAAAGAGACUUUCGCUGUGAAACUUGACAAACUUUGACAUCCUCAAACUUUGACAUCCUCAACUGCAAGUGUCAAAUUGUUCUGUGCAUCAAAUUUGGCUGCCCUGGCUGUAAAAAAGCUCACAUUAACUGUACUUGUCCUAAAGAGACAAAAAUACCAUUGAAGGAACUUGCUUUCAGUAAAGGUCAGAGAGAUAAGAUUGGUUCUUUGGGAUUGCACCAGAUUCGUUUGCCCGAUGUGCCCGAGCAGAAACUACUAGGCAAAAGCAGCAAGACAGAGAGACAAGGGUUAAUAUAAGCAGAGAAGUAUUCCAGACAUUUGAAUUCUUGGUAUAAAACACAUUACAACUGGGGAAAAAUGCAAAAAUUAAUUUUCACCCCAGAAAUCACCUUGUAGGGGAGAUGGGCAGCAUAAAAAAGAUUAAUGUUGAGC